UACGGAGGAGGCAAGCGUUUAUCCGGAAUUAUUGGGCGUAAAGCGUCCGUAGGUGGCUCUCUCAAGUCUGCGGUCAAAGACCGGGGCUCAACCCUGGAAAGGCCGUGGAAACUGGUGAGCUAGAGUGCGGUAGGGGGCGAGAGGGAAUUCCCAGUGUAGCGGUGAAAUGCGUAGAGAUUGGGAAGAACACCGGUGGCGAAAGCGCUCUGGGCCGGUACUGACACUGAGGAGCGAAAGCGUGGUAGCAAACAGG
rnacentral:rRNA from 1 species